CGUUUGCUUGCUACCUGAUCUGAUAGGUUAGUUCGAUGGUUGUUAACAAUGUUGAGAUGUUCUGGGUUUUAGAAUUUUUUUGUGAUUUUAGUUGGAUAUUUUAAAUGAUUGUCGUAGUCGCGAGAAUUUGAAGAAAGAAAAUUUAAAAUAAUGAAAAUUUCUGCGUUUUGAGUUUAGGUUCCUUCCGGAGGACAAGAUCCGUAGGUAGAAAAAUUAAAAAUUCAUAGCAAUCUCCACUUGUAAAUAACUGCUAAUAGCGUUAAAUUGUGCGAAUAGUGUUCACCGGGUAAAACAAUGUAAGUGGCAUCAAGCGUUGCACAUGUUGCAACACAUGGACAUUAAACAUCGUCAAUUUCAGAGUAACUCUUACUCGCAACAUGAGAAAAUAUACUUUCGUAACAAAAGUAAAAAGAACACUUUGAACAAACAUAUUUCUUGUUUUUCAGACAGGUUCACACGGUAUAUGUGCUUCAACACACGCACACUAAAUAUCAGCAAUUUCAUAACAACUGUUACUGACGACAUGAGAAAAUAUGCGUCUGUAGGAAAAGUAAACAGAACAUUUUCAACGAAUAUAUUUUUUCUUUUUUA